CCUACGGGAGGCAGCAGUGGGGAAUAUUGGGCAAUGGGCGCAAGCCUGACCCAGCAACGCCGCGUGAAGGAAGAAGGCUUUCGGGUUGUAAACUUCUUUUCUCAGGGACGAAGCAAGUGAUGGUACCUGAGGAAUAAGCCACGGCUAACUACGUGCCAGCAGCCGCGGUAAUACGUAGGGGGCAAGCGUUAUCAGGAUUUACUGGGUGUAAAGGGCGUGUAGGCGGGACUUCAAGUCAGGUGUGAAAACCACGGGCUCAACCUGGGGCCUGCAUUUGAAACUGUAGUUCUUGAGUACUGGAGAGGCAGACGGAAUUCCUAGUGUAGGGGUGAAAUGCGUAGAUAUUAGGAGGAACACCAGUGGCGAAGGCGGUCAGCUGGACAGCAACUGACGCUGAGGCGCGAAAGCGUGGGGAGCAAACAGGAUUAGAUACCCGGGUAGUC
rnacentral:rRNA from 1 species